CGUCCUCUCCCAAGCGCUCAGUACAGUGCUCUGCGCACGGUAAGCGCUCAAUAAAUACGACUGACUGACUGCCAGUAACUUCCCAUAUUGUUUACACCACCUGUCUCGAACGCAGCGAGCAAACAUCUCCCAGACAUGUCAUUAGAGUAACAAAAUAAUUUUUCUCCAAACCCCCGCCCUCGGCCAUCUUGCAACUGGACAUGAAAUGUUUUAAGCUGACGGAGGCUACGGAAUCAGCAGAGGCCCUAAUAACUAUACUGGAGCAGCCGGCGCGAGAAGAAAAGCAGCGAUCAAAAUGGGAUUUCUCCGAUUCCUGCUGAUCUGAGGAAGCGACUCGGUGAGCGCCCCGAAUCUGGAACAACUCGAGCCAAUUUAAAGAGCCCGUGGAGAGAGAAGCGCUCACGCGAUUCUCGUUUCAAAAAGGCAGCGGUGAACUGCACCAACGCCGUAAGCGACGGAGAAGGAAAACGUCGGCUAGUAACGGUUUUAGGAACGCCCCUAGCUUCUGGAUGUAAAAUCGGCUCAAUUCACAUCCCGGGAGUGAUGAACGUGGAUUCGGGACCAUCAGGAGAAAGAUCUCCGACUCUGCAAACGCCCAUCUGACUCCUGCAGGCGAGGGAAAGAUGCGAUCCAAACGGCCGACCAUAUUCUCAGCUAAGACAUCUGGCUCGCUGCUCUCCGCUGGGUGCCCUGAGAUGAUAAGAACGGGGCCCGAACCAUCCCCACCUUAAAAGUCGGCUCCUGUGUGAGUCCAGAGGGCAAUAAUAAUGAUAUCACCAAUGAUAUUUA